rnacentral:rRNA from 1 species
GACGAACGCUGGCGGCGUGCUUAACACAUGCAAGUCGAACGGAAAGGCCCUGCUUUUGUGGGGUGCUCGAGUGGCGAACGGGUGAGUAACACGUGAGUAACCUGCCCUUGACUUUGGGAUAACUUCAGGAAACUGGGGCUAACACCGGAUAGGAGCUCCUGCUGCAUGGUGGGGGUUGGAAAGUUUCGGCGGUUGGGGAUGGACUCGCGGCUUAUCAGCUUGUUGGUGGGGUAGUGGCUUACCAAGGCUUUGACGGGUAGCCGGCCUGAGAGGGUGACCGGCCACAUUGGGACUGAGAUACGGCCCAGACUCCUACGGGAGGCAGCAGUGGGGAAUAUUGCACAUUGGGCGGAAGCCUGAUGCAGCAACGCCGCGUGCGGGAUGACGGCCUUCGGGUUGUAAACCGCUUUCGCCUGUGACGAAGCGUGAGUGACGGUAAUGGGUAAAGAAGCACCGGCUAACUACGUG